CUUCUUCCCCAGGUCCUUCUUCUUCUCCUUUCUCCAACUUCUUCCCCAAACUUCUUUUUUCUUUCUCCCCAACUAAGUCACCCACAUCUUCUUUUUUUUUUUUUUUCUCAACCUUCAUCUUUUUUUAGGCACACACUCCUUAGUAUAAAUAGAGGUGCAAAUGGAAUAAGAGGGGGAGGAUGAGUAUUCUUGAGUUUUGAGAAAAUUCUGGCGUAACAUACAAGUUCCCAACACUACAUCUGUUAUGACUAUCACUUGCACACCAUUCCAACAAGCCGGCGACUAAUCCACGAGCUCCACCGAAGUGGUAGAUCCAGCGAAGCUCAUGAACAGAAAUUACAACACUCCGACAUUCCUUCAAGGGUCACUGUCAAGCGAUUUCAAAAACGACGCUACUCCGACAACCUAUAAUUGUAGCAGAUUUCAAAUUUUCACGGCGAUGCCACCGCAUCUAACGUCCAAGCAUUAGCCUUGCAAGUUGUAGAAGCUUGGUCCGGUGAAGAAGUGGAAACAAAUUGAGAAGGAAAAAGAGGGGUUCCCAAGAAAGAAGAAAGCUAAUAUGAAGCUAUUGCAGGAAUUGAUUGCAUGCGUUGAUCCCAGACUAUCGCAAAGCUGAUCGUAUGCGUUGAUCUUCAUGAAGACUAGUUCGUCACAUGGAAUGCUGCAACUACAGAGUGAUAACCGUGAUAGAAUGUCGAUCGCAAGGUGGGUAGAAUGCAUUGAUACUUUAGAAGAAACGAUCGUGAACACAUACUUUGGGAGUAUCAAAAUGAUAAGAUGAUGUUGACAUUCCACAUACCGCGUCAAAAAUGGCAGUGACUCAUAGUGGGAUUACCAAUGUUGUCGGCGUUUGAGCUCUUUAAAUAGACCUUUGGAACCUAAAUUCAAGGCAUUUGAGUCUCUACCUUGAGUAGAUUCUUGUGAUCACAGAUGAGAGCGUGAGCAAGACAUUCUUUGAGAGUUAUUCACUUCCACAACCCUUUUUGAGUGACACCGGAGCUUCGUCGAAGAUAGAGCUCGAGAGAAAUGUCACCACCACUCAUCAUGGCACCACCGGCAGCCUUGACGUACUUCUGAUGGAAGCAAGAGAUUGCCUACAUCUAACCCUCCACCUUUCCUCUUAUCUCUGUAUUGUAUUACAUUUUGGCUUAAAACAUUAAUACACUUUGUAAUAAAUGCAUCUCUUUUAGUUCCUUCAGCACCAUCUUCAUCA